rnacentral:rRNA from 1 species
AUACGGAGGGUGCAAACGUUGUUCGGAAUCACUGGGCGUAAAGGGCGCGCAGGCGGUUUGAUUAGUCAGAUGUGAAAGCCCACGGCUUAACCGUGGAAGUGCAUUUGAAACUGUCAGACUUGAGUACCAGAGGGGGUAGUGGAAUUCCCGGUGUAGAGGUGAAAUUCGUAGAUAUCGGGAGGAAUACCGGUGGCGAAGGCGACUACCUGGCUGGAUACUGACGCUGAGGCGCGAAAGCGUGGGGAGCAAACAGGAUUAGAUACCCGGGUAGUCC